AGUUUGAUCCUGGCUCAGGAUGAACGCUGGCGGCGUGCCUAACACAUGCAAGUCGAGCGAAGCACUUUACUUUGAUUCUUCGGAUGAAGAGUUUUGUGACUGAGCGGCGGACGGGUGAGUAACGCGUGGGUAACCUGCCUCAUACAGGGGGAUAACAGUUAGAAAUGACUGCUAAUACCGCAUAAGACCACAGCACCGCAUGGUGCAGGGGUAAAAACUCCGGUGGUAUGAGAUGGACCCGCGUCUGAUUAGCUAGUUGGUAAGGUAACGGCUUACCAAGGCGACGAUCAGUAGCCGACCUGAGAGGGUGACCGGCCACAUUGGGACUGAGACACGGCCCAAACUCCUACGGGAGGCAGCAGUGGGGAAUAUUGCACAAUGGGGGAAACCCUGAUGCAGCGACGCCGCGUGAGCGAAGAAGUAUUUCGGUAUGUAAAGCUCUAUCAGCAGGGAAGAAACUGACGGUACCUGACUAAGAAGCACCGGCUAAAUACGUGCC
rnacentral:rRNA from 1 species